AUGGACCAGGGUCGGGCAGCGCAGGGGACACCGAUCUUCACCAGCCCAGCAGGCCUGGCAGGUAGCACGGGCCGGAAGGACUGGGACGGGGAGCAGGUGGGAGGAAUUAUCUGUAAGACGACAACUGCCCUCCAGUUCUUGAGAAGACGGGUGUACGCGUACACGCGAGACACACACUCAGAGACAACUCAGAUGCUAGAGGGAAAGAUGAAAACAAGAAGUCCUGAAGCAAAAUGGAAGAAAAAAGCCAAACCCAGGGGACAGACCAGCAAACCUGAAUGGGACGGACUUUGGCCCCGACAGCCCGCGUGAGUUCCUCCUGCUGUCGAGAAAGGGGACAGACUCAGUACACCUAAGAUUCAACCACUUGGCUGGUUUUGUUUUGUUUUGUUUUUAAGAAGGGGGAUUUUAGGGCACAGAAACCCAGGCAGAUAGAAAGAUAGAAUGUCUCUGGAAAGAUCCACAAGGAGCGAGAACCCUGGUGCCCCUGGGGAGCAGGGGCUUACCAGAAGACAGACAUGUUCUGACCGUGCACCCUUUCAUCUGACCGUGUGCAUGUAUUAACUGUCUUCGAAGAAUCAGAACAUAAGACCCAGCACCCAUCUCCCAGGAUCGUCGAUUACAGGAGACACAUGCAGUUUCGCCGAGAGGCUGGAGACCAUCUGUGUACCCCACGGUGCUUUGUAAACUGUAAAGCCCUCCGGAGGUAGACGCGUAGUGAUGAAGGUUCCUGGAUUCAAAUUCUGGCCCCAGCACUUCCCAGCUGGUGACCUGGGAUAAUUUAACUGAUUGGGGCCUCAGCUCCCUCACCUGCAAAUAGGACAAUAACACUGCUUACUCCGGGGCGCCUGGGUGGCUCAGUGGGUUAAGCCGCUGCCUUCGGCUCAGGUCAUGAUCUCAGGGUCCUGGGAUCGAGUCCCGCAUCGGGCUCUCUGCUCGGCAGAGAGCCUGCUUCCCUCUCCUUCU
rnacentral:lncRNA from 1 species